GGGUCUGUCUUGGGUUCGACAGGGAUGUGUUUGGCUUUAACUGCAGCCGAGUGGUGACGAUAUCACCAAAAAACAAAUAUCUGGCAACAGAAAUUUAUCUUACGCUGCUGCUUAAUUAGCGGACUAAAUUUGUCAUCCAUUCUCUAGAAUGGGCAGCGCGCUUCCUAAGGUCUUAUUCUUUUACGCUUAGGGUGAGUGUCAUAACGAAAGAAUAAGCUUCUAUGAUGAUUAUGAGUAGAGGACGAAAAUCCCAUAAUCCCGCUUAGGUAGACUUGUCGACCGGUUCAACUAAGUUCAAUUUAAGUGUCGACUAAGCUGUAGACGUUAUUGUGGGGCCAUCUUUGGACACGGGUUCAAUUCCCGUCAGAUCCACCA
rfam:Coprobacillus sp. CAG:826 genomic scaffold, scf32